GACGAACGCUGGCGGCGUGCUUAACACAUGCAAGUCGAACGGAAAGGCCCUGCUUUUGUGGGGUGCUCGAGUGGCGAACGGGUGAGUAACACGUGAGUAACCUGCCCUUGACUUUGGGAUAACUUCAGGAAACUGGGGCUAAUACCGGAUAGGAGCUCCUGCUGCAUGGUGGGGGUUGGAAAGUUUCGGCGGUUGGGGAUGGACUCGCGGCUUAUCAGCUUGUUGGUGGGGUAGUGGCUUACCAAGGCUUUGACGGAUAGCCGGCCUGAGAGGGUGACCGGCCACAUUGGGACUGAGAUACGGCCCAGACUCCUACGGGCGGCAGCAGUGGGGAAUAUUGCACAAUGGGCGGAAGCCUGAUGCAGCAACGCCGCGUGCGGGAUGACGGCCUUCGGGUUGUAAACCGCUUUCGCCUGUGACGAAGCGUGAGUGACGGUAAUGGGUAAAGAAGCACCGGCUAACUACGUG
rnacentral:rRNA from 1 species